rnacentral:lncRNA from 1 species
UCCCCCCCAGUUUACCCUUUUAUACACAUUGCACAAAUUUAUCUUGUUGAAUAGCAGUCCCGGUGGUUUUGAUCUUAUUUUAUUACUGCGAUAUUCUCGGUACACUUCUCGGAAGUCAUCAAGUUUUUGGCGCCGUUGUCGAGGACUGUUGAUAAUUUCAAAAAGACAACGUUUAUGCAAUGUGUUUUUAUUUAGUUUUUUUAUUUUUG